CAGGACUUGGGGUGCCACCCGUUCGGGUGUCGUCCCGGAGCUAACGCGUUAAGUCCUGCACCUGGGGAGUACGGUCGCAAGACUGAAACUCAAAGGAAUUGANCGGGGGCCCGCACAAGCGGUGGAACAUGUGGUUCAAUUCGACGCUACGCGAGGAACCUUACCUGGGCUCGAAGCGCACUUGACUAGCUGUGGAAACACGGCCUUCCCGNCAAGGGACAAGUGUGGAGGCGCUGCAUGGCUGUCGUCAGCUCGUUCCGUGAGGUGUUGGGUUAAGUCCCGCAACGAGCGCAACCCCUGCACGUAGUUGCCACUCCGCCAAGGAGGGAACUCUACGUGGACUGACUCCGGAUAACGGAGAGGAAGGUGGGGAUGACGUCAAGUCCGCAUGGCCUUUAUGUNCCAGGGCUACACACGUGUUACAAUGNCAGGGCACAAACCGUUGCCAACCCGUGAGGGGGAGCUAAUCGGAGAAAACUCUGCUCAGUUCGGAUUGCAGUCUGCAACUCGACUGCAUGAAGCCGGAAUCGCUAGUAAUGGCGUAUCAGAUCGACGCCGUGAAUACGUUCCCGGGCCUUGUACACACCGCCCGUCACAUCACGAAAGUGGGUUGUACUAGAAGUCGCUGCGCUAACUCGCAAGAGNGGCAAGCGCCCAAGGUAUGACUCAUGAUUGGGGUGAAGUCGUAACCAAGGUACC
rnacentral:rRNA from 1 species